rnacentral:rRNA from 1 species
ACUCCUACGGGAGGCAGCAGUGGGGAAUAUUGCACAAUGGGCGCAAGCCUGAUGCAGCCAUGCCGCGUGUGUGAAGAAGGCCUUCGGGUUGUAAAGCACUUUCAGUCGUGAGGAAGGUAGUGUAGUUAAUAGCUGCAUUAUUUGAUCGUUAGACGAACAGAACGGAAGACACCCGGCUAACUCCCGUGCCAGCCAGCCGGCGGUAAUACGGAGGGUGCGAGCGUUAAUCGGAAUUACUGGGCGUAAAGCGCAUGCAGGUGGUUUGUUAAGUCAGAUGUGAAAGCCCGGGGCUCAACCUCGGAAUUGCAUUUGAAACUGGCAGACUAGAGUACUGUAGAGGGGGGUAGAAUUUCAGGUGUAGCGGUGAAAUGCGUAGAGAUCUGAAGGAAUACCGGUGGCGAAGGCGGCCCCCUGGACAGAUACUGACACUCAGAUGCGAAAGCGUGGGGAGCAAACAGGAUUAGAUACCCUGGUAGCUACGAGU